GGGAGCACUUUUGGACCUAAAUGAAUUAAAAACAACUGGGCCAACAAUGGCUUAUUAGGAAAAUGAGCUUAAAAGCUGCGAUAGGGCCGAAAGAACUGACCCAGAAAUCAAAGAAGGGCUUAAGGACAUCGUUGUUGAAGCAUGGGUUAAACAAUCCACAUUGGGCUUUAGUUUUUAGGCGGGCCCAGGUGUUAUAAGCGUUCCAAUUGGGCAUGUCUACCUCUAAAAUUAGCCCCCAUACUUAUUAUAGCCAAAACUUGGUUUUCUUCUAAAUGAACAAAUAUUACAGAAAAUAAAUCAAACACAAUUCUGAGAUUAACCAUAUGAAUAACAUGCAUAUGUUUAACCAAUACCUCAUGGUAAAGAGAAAUUCUACAGUUGGAUCCGACUUCGGGCUUAGGGUCAAAGCUUGGCGGCCUAAACCCUACUCACUUGUCUCUUAAAUGGAUUUGGGGUUCAACCUAGGCCUAUCAAGUAAAACCCUUGUUGCCCUUUACAGGAGGGGCUCAAGGUACGACCCAUUACACCACUGUUUUAAAGAAUGACCCAAAAUUCAAAUGAAUUUAAUGGUCCAAUUAAUUACAAAACUGCAGACGAAGUAAGAAAAAUUUUCAACACAUUACAUAGUGAUUUUGAAAGACAUACUAACUACAUAGAAAAAGAAACUAAUGAUUACAAAUUUCUGUACAACCAGCAAAUUUUAAAAGAAUCCCUGCUUCUUUUGACAUGGUUUGUCCAUCAAAACCAUGGUCUCCUUUUGUGAUCCAUACCAUACAAACAAGUUCCUAAGCUUCAGCUUCUAAACCUGCUGAUUUAGCCAACCUGUGGCUAAAUCUGCAGGCUGCAACUUACAAUAAGCCAAUCAAAAGGGAAUUAAAAUAAUAUCUUUGGGUAAAGAGAAUCAACUAAAAGAUAGAAAGACAACAUUAUAAACAAUAAUAAACUUAGAUGCUGCUAUAAAACAAAAAUGCCCUUUCUUAGCAUGUUUUUAACUACUGAAAUGCAUGGAAAGUCACGGGGAAAGCUAAUGGAAAAUAAUGAACACAUAUUACUUUCUAUUGUUAAAUCAAACAACCAUACACACAGUCACGGAUAGUUUCAGAUUUUGCACAAAUAAUUUCAUUUUCAUAGAUAGAACGUGGUUACAUACCUAUAGAUGAUUCAAAAAAGACCAAAUAAAGGUCACUAGAACAGCUGAUUUUUCCAAAAAAUAGUGAGCAACAACAGGUAGCCAAUUCAGAACCCAAGUUCAGCUCUUAAGAACCUAGAGAUUUCAACUCAAGAAGACCAAGAGAAGUUAUUUUACUUCAAAUCAUUUUUCAGCUUUUCAAAGAAGAAACCAAAGAAGAAAGUUUCUAAAAUCCCUUAGAUCUAAGCUUUUCAGAAGAUGAAGGAAUGAUGGUUUCUUUUCUUGUGCAGUAAAUUGAUGCUGAAAAUGUAUCCCCCCAAAAAAUUUGAAUUUCUGUAUAGAUAUGGUACCAUGCCAAAGGUGCUAUGUGCUGGAAGGAAUAUUCCUCAACCACACAAAGCAUAUUCUCAACAGAAAUAGGCAGCUGGUUUUCUCUCAUUGGCUUCAGUACUUUGUACUAAACAAAUGAUGCCAGCUAUUCUUGAUCUAGAGAAUUCUGAGAUUUUUCCUAAAUAGAGAAAACCCUGAAUUACCCCUCUAAGCCAUGCUUAUUACAACUCUUAACCAGAAAUUUUUACUUAAGUCCUUCAGGUUUCUAAAGAUUGGCAAACAAGGGCUAAUAACAACAGGCUAUCAUUGUUACAGACAGGAAGAUCAAAUGAUAAAAUACUAUUGAGCCAAACAAAUCUUAAGCAAAUCCUAAAAACUACUGAUAUGAACAAGAAAGCUGAAAAAAUGGAAUAAUGAAACAAAUAUGGAUGAAAACUUUGAAACUAAUAUUAACAAGAAUCUUCAAGGAAGAACUAUUAAACCUAAAAUAAUUGAUGAAAUUCUAACAAAUAUAAUUCUUUAAAUCAAGCAGCCAAUCACUCGAGACCAACACUUAAUUUUAACAAACACAACUUAGCUAUUUUACCAAAAUAAAUAACUUAGACAAUCUUUGAUUGCUGAGGUUCAGAAAAUCCAGCUAACACAAUUAAACUUCAAACAAUGAAAGAAAAAGACUUAACUAACUGGAAAAAUAGAGUGAAUCAAACAAACUAGCUAAAACUAUAUGGAGGAAAAAGCACAUAAAAAGAAUAGAGAUGGAGACGACACUCAGAAAAGUAAAGAAGAAAAAUGGCAAAGAAAAUACCUAAAAUAGCAAAAGAACUUCAAAACACCUCUAGAUUGUUUGCAGGGUCUAAUAUUUAUAAAGUGAACCAAAAUUAAUGUUAAUCAGUUGUUUUUACUAAGAACAAACUGAGUAGAUUGCACUUUGGACAACUUCAAGCCGGGGAACCAAAUCGACUAGGCUUCUCACUUUUGUAUAUUUGAGAUUUAGGGCUUUUGAUUGGGUAUUUCGAUAACAUGAGGGAAUCGUGAUGAGGGGGAAUCAAGGGUGAUGGGGUUUGAUUUUGGUGUAAUUUGGGGUAAUUAGGGUUUUUUAACGGGAACUUUGAUCCAAGAUUCGACACGCUCAGCUAUGAUUCGAGGGGAAUCGGUUAGGGAUUCACAGAGAGGAAUGAAAAGGAGUCUGAGGUGUAAUUUUGGAACAAUUUGGAACGGUUCAAGUCUUGGCUAAAUUUUUGAUUUAAGAUUCGAACAGACCAAGCUUUAUUUGAAGGAAAUGGAGUGAAGAUAUGGAAUUGGGAGAUGUAGGGGAGUUUGCGGUAUAUUUUGGGACUGAUUGGACCACCGGAACUGCCUUGAGGCUAUUUUCGGUGGUGGUUCACGGUGGAGGCAGCAUGGAAAAUGAGGCACCUAAGGUUACACAGGUGAGGAUGAUAGACAUGAUAAAUGAGGUGAAUUUUUUGUUUUGGGGGUGGGUUGACUCGGUUCGAACAGUUAUAACGUAAGAGUCUGUUCAGUUCCGGGCCGUUGGAUUGACU
rnacentral:lncRNA from 1 species